UACGGAGGGAGCUAGCGUUGUUCGGAAUUACUGGGCGUAAAGCGCACGUAGGCGGCUAUUCAAGUCGGGGGUGAAAGCCCGGGGCUCAACCCCGGAACUGCCCUCGAAACUAGAUAGCUAGAAUCUUGGAGAGGCGAGUGGAAUUCCGAGUGUAGAGGUGAAAUUCGUAGAUAUUCGGAAGAACACCAGUGGCGAAGGCGGCUCGCUGGACAAGUAUUGACGCUGAGACGCGAAAGCGUGGGGAGCGAACAGG
rnacentral:rRNA from 1 species